AUUGAACGCUAGCGGGAUGCCUUACACAUGCAAGUCGAACGGAGUGGCGAACGGGUGAGUAAUGUAUCGGAACGUGCCCAGUAGCGGGGGAUAACUACGCGAAAGCGUAGCUAAUAACGCAUACUAUUGGAGCGGCAGAUAUCGGACUAGCUAGUUGGUGGGGUAACGGCUACCCAAGGCGACGAUCCGUAGCGGGUUUGAGAUGGAGAACAGCCACACUGUGACUGAGACACGGCCCAGACUCCUCCGGGAGGCAGCAGUGGGGAAUGUUUGACAAUGGGGGAAACCCUGAUCCAGCCAUCCCGAGUGUUCGAUGAAGGCCUUCGGGUUGUAAAGCACUUUUGGCAGGAAAGCGGUACCUGCAGAAUAAGCACCGGCUAACUACGUGCCAGCAGCCGCGGUAAUAC
rnacentral:rRNA from 1 species